rnacentral:tRNA from 1 species
GCCUGGGUGGCUCAGUCGGUUAGGCGUCUGACUUCGGCUCAGGCCAUGAUCUCUCAAACUCAGGUUUGUGGGUUCGAGCCCCACAUCGGGCU